ensembl:lncRNA
AUCUCAGACCUCCUCCCCUUUCUGAGAAGGAUUGUAUUCAGGAAGCCCAGUUCUAUCUUUGUGAAGUCCAUCAUCAGAGAGAUCUAUGAGAGGAGAGACAGUGACUGUGUGUCCAGUUUGUUGAGGUCUUUAGAUUGGAUCAACCUGAACAGUAGCGAGCUGGACAGAGUGGACUGUGCUGCUCUGUGUUUCACCCUCCAACACAGCCACUAUGUCCAAGUCAACCUGCUGUGGACCUCCAUACCACCGGGGGAGAUAGAGAGCAUCCUGCCCCUUCUGGACAGAGUCUCCCAACUCAGUGUUGACAGGAGGUUGUUACUGAGUUUCCUCCGGUGCUGCGCUGCCUCUCAGAUCCAACAGGGGGCACCACCACCAACAGCAGUAUGGCUGCUCAGGGCUCUGAACCACAGACUGGACUUCUCCUGUUCCUCCUCUGUGGACCUGUCAGGUGAUGACCAGGAGGAGGCGCUGUGUCUGACCACUGACCACUGCAGGAUCAUCACAGCUGUUCUGACGCAGAACCAACACAGCCCAGACCUGGUCCAGAACCCCACCAAGAAACGGAAACGGACCCAGACUGAUCCACACUUUCAGCUCAAGAAGCUCAAGCUCACAACCCAUCAUCAGAACCAGCCCCGGCCCCCCCCCG